GGCCCCGUGGCUCAGUGGCAAAGAAUCUGCUUUGCAUGCAGGAGGUCCCAAUUUCAAUCCCUGGCAGGUUCA
rnacentral:tRNA from 1 species